UGGUGGGUAGUUUGACUGGGGCGGUCUCCUCCUAAAGAGUAACGGAGGAGCACGAAGGUUGGCUAAUCCUGGUCGGACAUCAGGAGGUUAGUGCAAUGGCAUAAGCCAGCUUGACUGCGAGCGUGACGGCGCGAGCAGGUGCGAAAGCAGGUCAUAGUGAUCCGGUGGUUCUGAAUGGAAGGGCCAUCGCUCAACGGAUAAAAGGUACUCCGGGGAUAACAGGCUGAUACCGCCCAAGAGUUCAUAUCGACGGCGGUGUUUGGCACCUCGAUGUCGGCUCAUCACAUCCUGGGGCUGAAGUAGGUCCCAAGGGUAUGGCUGUUCGCCAUUUAAAGUGGUACGCGAGCUGGGUUUAGAACGUCGUGAGACAGUUCGGUCCCUAUCUGCCGUGGGCGCUGGAGAACUGAGGGGGGCUGCUCCUAGUACGAGAGGACCGGAGUGGACGCAU
rnacentral:rRNA from 3 species